AAAGUGCAUCCACCAUUGUUGGGCAGAGGACCAGGGAGGCCAAAGGUGCAAAGGAUUAGAGGGUGCAUGGAAAAAAGAACCACAAAGAAAAAGGUUAAAUGCAGCAGAUGCCGUGCACUAGGCCAUUUUGCAAAAACUUGCAAAGAGCCAGAGGUUGGUGAAGAUGGCGCAAAAGGGUUGAGCAGGAAUAAAAGGAAGAAGUGCACAGAAGAUGAUGCUGGCCCCUCCAACGUGAAGAAACAGAAGACUCAACAGAAAAAGAAAGGUACCCC